UCAUUAUUAUUUCUAUUUU
rnacentral:miRNA from 1 species